AGCUCCAAUAGCGUAUAUUAAAGUUGUUGCAGUUAAAAAGCUCGUAGUUGGAUUUCGGGGCAGUCUGGCUGGUCCGUCGCAAGACGAGCACUGGUCAGCUGCCCUUCCUCUCGAAAGCCCCGACUGCUCUUCGUUGCAGUGGUCGGGGAGUUCGGGACGUUUACUUUGAAAAAAUUAGAGUGUUCAAGGCAGGCUCGCGCCUGAAUGCAUUAGCAUGGAAUAAUGGAAAAGGACCUCGGUCCUAUUUUGUUGGUUUCUGGGGCCGAAGUAAUGAUUAAGAGGGACAGUUGGGGGCAUUCGUAUUUCGUUGUCAGAGGUGAAAUUCUUGGAUUUACGAAAGACGAACAACUGCGAAAGCAUUUGCCAAGAGUGUUUUCAUUAAUCAAGAACGAAAGUACGC
rnacentral:rRNA from 1 species